AUAGGCCUGGGUGUGGUCCUAGAACCCACAUUUUAUGACAUACAUGACCCUCCUCCACCAUCACUGAAGUCACAGCAGCUGUGCAGGAGGUUCUAGAUCAUGGCUGUAGGAACACUGGGUGUCUCCCAACCGGUGAAAAUCAGCAGCCUGUUGAGGUUUCUAGGUCAUUUCACCAGGGGUGGGCAGUGAUCCGUGCACAAAUCAAGCAGUGUGAGAAGAUAGAUCACUGAGAGAAGGGGCUCUGUUUAUCCACAAACAUCUCGACAACUUGCGGUAAUGGAAAAGGAGACACAGCUCUGGGACUGCUUCGUUUUCCGUGUGAAUAACACUAAUGCAGAGAUCAUUUCAAAGUAUCCCUUUGGACAGAUGUUUACACGCUACCAAACAUAAUCCAGGCAGUUUCAAAUCCAGGAACAAACACAGGAAGAGAAAUAGGGAUAUCGGACUUUCUGACCCAAAAUUUCAUAAUUAUAAUCCCACCUCUACCAAUGCUGUGAACCAGAACAGUCCUGGGAGUGGGGCAGAAGACAGUUCUUAAGAGAAUAUACCAGCAGGUAUUGUUCUGGAAAUAUGUGUAAGAAUAAACUCUGACAUUCAAGACUUCAUGAGUAAGAGGAUGAAGAGAAGGAAAUAGCAAGGCACAAAGGACAUCUUGCAGCAAGCCCCAGAGCUUUCACCAUCUUCUUGAAAUGUCUGUGAUGUUGCUUUGUACGUCAUGUCGUCAUGGGCGUCUCUACAUCCAGCUUCAUGAAGGAAAUGGCCUAUAGGAUGUGAAGAAUCGGUGGUAUUUGAAAACCUGCUGAGGGGGUUGGAAGGAAGUUUAGAGCUCUUUGAACUCAAACAUCCGCUUGGAUAUUCAACCAGAACAUGGCCAAUGCACAGUCGGGUGGUAAAACUAGAAAGGAAAUCAAGGAUGCAAUGACUCUAAAAAUCGGGGCAGUGGUUACUCCAUGGGAUAUUUGUGAUCAGGAGGAACCAUGGGGUGAGUGGUUGGCAGGGUUCUAUUUCUUGACCUGGGUGGUGGUUGCAGUAUGUCAUUAAACCGCAUUGGGAUACUUUAAGCCUGGUUUCCUUAUGUGACGUUUUCCACAAUGAACAAUAACAAAAA